GCCGGCCGCGGUGGUGCGCCUGUAGUCCUAGCUACUCGGGAGGCUGAGGCAGGAGGAUGCUUGAGUCCAGGAGUUCUGAGCUGCAGUGCGCUAUGCCCAUCGGGUGUCUGCACUAAGUUCGGCAUCAAUAUGGUGACCUCCCGGGAGCAGGGGACCACCAGGUUGCCUAAGGAGGGGUGAACCGGCCCAGGUCAGAAAUGGAGCAGGUCAAAGUUGAUAAAAUGCAAUGAAAGCAGCAGUUAAAAUGAAAUUUAGAUGGAUUGGUGGAGUAGCUCAUACAGUAAGAGUACCUCCCUCA
rnacentral:SRP_RNA from 1 species